GCCUGGGUGACUCAGUCGGUUAAGCGUCUGACUUCAGCUCAGGUCAUUAUCUUACAGUUUGUGGGUUCAAGUCCCACAUCAGUCU
rfam:Felis catus isolate Cinnamon breed Abyssinian chromosome X, whole genome shotgun sequence.